UUGGCUCAGGAUGAACGCUGGCGGCAGGCUUAACACAUGCAAGUCGAGGGGCAGCGCGGUGUAGCAAUACACUGGCGGCGACCGGCGGAAGGGUGCGUAACGCGUGAGCAACAUACCCGUGUCUGGGGGAUAGGAGAUGGAAACGUCUUAUAAUACCCCAUAACAACAGAGGCUGCAUGGUCUCUGUUUGAAAGAUUCAUUGGACACGGAUUGGCUCGCGUGACAUUAGCUAGUCGGCGGGGUAACGGCCCACCGAGGCGACGAUGUCUAGGGGUUCUGAGAGGAAGGUCCCCCACACUGGAACUGAGACACGGUCCAGACUCCUACGGGAGGCAGCAGUGGGGAAUA
rnacentral:rRNA from 1 species